rnacentral:rRNA from 1 species
GACGAACGCUGGCGGCGUGCUUAACACAUGCAAGUCGAACGAAGUGGCGAACGGGUGAGUAACGCGUAAUCAACCUGCCCUUCAGAGGGGGACAACAGUUGGAAACGACUGCUAAUACCGCAUACUGAAGGAGGGGAUUGCGUCUGAUUAGCUAGUUGGAGGGGUAACGGCCCACCAGGGCGAUGAUCAGUAGGCGGGGUGGGAGGAUGGACGGCGACAUUGGGACUGGGAGACGGCCCAGACUCCUACGGGGGGCAGCAGGGGGGAAUCUUCGGGAAUGGACGAAAGUCUGACGGAGCAACGCCGCGGGGGGGAUGACGGCCUUCGGGGUGUAAAGCUCUGUUGAUCGGGACGCGGUACCGGAAUAGAAAGCCACGGCUAACUACGUGCCAGCAGCCGCGGUAAUAC